CACCCCUGGCAAUAGACAAAGAGACACCUUGUUGGUGGAAUUCUUCUUAUAUCAGUCAGGGGAAGAGCAAAUGGCAGCCCUUUGUUCAUCCUAGCUUGAUGCCUGGUUUGGUGGACAAAGCUGUCUUACGCUUAGGACUCAUAA